GCAGCAAAGGUUAAACCCUUAUGAGUAAAUUUACAGUUUACCGCUUAUAUCAGCCAUACUACCUG
rnacentral:tRNA from 1 species